rnacentral:lncRNA from 1 species
UGUAGAACAAUCCCCUUAUCCCCCCCGGGCCUAUAACCUUCGUGUUCUUGUAGUUUUGGUCACGUUCGCUAAAGGUAAUCCUACAAUUACUUCGCGUUUGUGACCCAAGCCUCACGUUCACAUAGAGAAAAUCCCAACCCCAACCUAGGUUACUCUUCGCGAUCUUGAAGAAUGUUGCACAAAACAUCAGAACAAUAUUUCUUC